AUGCUAAGCAUAAGCAGAGCUCUCUGCGAAUGCGUUGCCUCUUCCAAAACUCUCGAAACUCUUUGGCUGUGCCUGAAAGUUUCGACGUCACAAGUAACCUGAGGACGUUUCUCUUUGAGAGAUGUUCCUCUACCCAUUUUUAACCAUCAUUACCUACUUUAAACUCAUUAGACUGAUAUGAACAAACAUUUAUUCUUAUAAAUGUGAAAA
rnacentral:misc_RNA from 1 species